UGCCUUUUUGUGUUGCCCGUUCUUUGCUUCCCCUUAAAAGAACGUGGUGUCAGUAAAGGCAUACAGUAACGCUCAGGUUUGGCCUUUACCGGGUAACUUCGGUGUUACCUCGGGCAAAGCUCUGUACCAGGCACACAU